ACCAAUACAAAGGUAAAAAGCACUAUAUUAUAGUCAAAUUUCCUGAUAAAUCAAGUGCUGACACCUAUGUCCAAAUACCAUGGACAAUUGUAUGCUUGUAUUUCCAAAAAAGGGGUCGUGUGGCUAAAAUCUAACCCAGUUCUAACUAAUAACCGAAACAAAACAAGGCAACUAUCACCAAACCCUCCUGGACCGUUGCCCAUGCUCUUUUUUCCUUUCCUGGACAACAAAUCACCUGACAAAGAAAAGGAACAAAAAUCAUCAGAAUACUGGCGUCUCCCAGGACCCUCCUUUAACUUGCAUCACACAAGUCAUCUGGGAGGCGCCAUGGCCCAUGGGAGAGGGGAAAUGAGAAGAAAGAGUAGAAAAACAUCAGAGAGACGUCAUGGGAGAGAGGGAGUGAGAAGAAGGAAGAACAAAAACAAGUCAGAGAGGCACAUCAGAGGGGCAAGUACCUGGAGAGAAGCAAGGGGGAAGAACAGAUCUGAAUAAUUGGUGGUGGACAAAGGAAGAUCAUCCAAGAGACGGUCCACAACUCACAAAAUGUCCUACUCCUUUUGAUCACACUUCUAUUGAACUCUUCCAUGUUUUUCCUCACCCUGCUGCUCUACAUACACCUGCUACAUGAACUAGCCUGCAAAAAAACCAUCAUACAAUCUAGUGAGAAUUUUGGAAUCGUCAGGGGAAAAAUUCUAACUGUCGGAAGUUAAAACUGUUAAUAUUUCACUGUCAAACACUACACCAACACGAAUUCCAGUGUAACGUACACAUGAAAAAAAAACUUUGCUGCAGUAUAGGGCAAUGUAGGUAACAUGAACCAUGAGGAAAUUACAUGAAAAAAGUUGUGUUGUAGUACACAUGAAAAAAUCUUUGCUGCGAUACAUGGCAAUGUAGCUAACAUGAACUCAGGGGAAAUUACAGAGUUAGACAACUCAUGACAUUCAUGGAAAAAUGAGAUGAAUUCCAGUGUAAUACCUACAUGACAUACAAUGCAAACUGGGGGAAUAUUACACCGUAUUCCAGCAUUAUUUAAUACAAUUCAGAAUUACAAUGUGAUUCUGGGGGAUAUUACAAUAUAAAUUUGGGGUAUGUAUAUUACAAUGUAAUCCUGGGGAAUAUUACACUACAAAUAUAGUGGAAAUUACAGAGAAAUUAAGAGGUAUUACACUGUAAUUCAAAGAGUUAAAAUUCACCGGAAAUUCAAGCAAAAGCUGAACAGAAUAAGUACAGAGAUACAUGCAAGUUCGUAUGAAGUCAUGAAUACAGAGACAGACCUAUCAGCAUAAAGAACACAAGUCCUAUCAGAUGAAUGCAUUAAUAUUGACAAUCAAAAAUAGAGCUUGUUACAGUGCUGGUACACAUGGACAGUGAAGGAAAUGAAUAAUCACACUAGUGGAUUACAAUGAUAAUAACCAAGAGACUACACAAGGAUAAUCACACAAAGCAGAGUUAAAAUCCACUGUAAUUCAAGCAAAUCUGAACAAGAAUGAAGCCCAAAUAUCAAAUAAUACAGAGGUUCAUCGGGAAAAUUACACUACUUUGUUUAGAAGAAGAAAAAUUAGACUGAAUUUCUAGGAAAAUUUACACUGCAAUUUGGGGAAUAAUUACACUAUAAUUACAUAAAUAAAGCAUGAAGUUUACACUGUAAUUAUGGGGAAAAUUACACUGUAAUUACAUAAAUGAAGCAUGGAGUUUACACUGUAAUUCUAGGAAAAUUACACUAUAAUUCUGGGAAAAUUACAUUGUCAUUUAAAAAAAUGAAGCAUUGGGAUUACACUAAAACCUGGGCUAAAUUACACUGCAAUUCUAGGGUAUAUUACACUGCAAUUACAUAAAGGAAGCAUGGGGAUUGCAAUGAAAUUUUUGGAUACAUUACACUGUAAUACUAGGGGCAUACUACACUGUAAUUUUAGGCUAAAUUACAUUGUAAUUCUUGUGAAUAAAAAAGAUAAGUCAUUAGUUGUAACUAGAUCAGAAAGACUCACAUGAUUCACAUAGAAAUUGAAAGUAGUUUUAUCAAAACCCCUAUCAUCACUAGAAAGAUCCUAAAAAAUAAUUCAGUCAACAAACAGAAAUUUUAAUAAAUUGAAAGAAAGAAUAAAAACGAAAAUGAAAGUAGAGAACAAGACGAAAAUAACUACCAAAGACAUAGCAUUAGAACCAUCUUCCACAAAGUCAUUAGGCACAAAAGGAUCAUUCAAAGAAUCAGCCCUCUCAAUAGAAGAAACUACCAAAACAUCAUUGUGAGAGACUUCCCGUAGUCUCCCCAUUGACCUAAACCUAACAAAACAUAAUACAUGACACACGAAAGAAAAUAAAAGAAAGCUGAAAAUUAUAGGGUAAUGGGGCUCAAUUACAAGGGAAAUCUCACAACAAAUAAUACAUUGAAAGGCAGCAAUCAGGGGAAUUAUAGAGUAAUGGGGGCAUAUUAAUACAGUGGAAGAAUCACUUAAAUACAGUGUAAAACCAACCUAAAUACAGUGAAACUCUGAGUAAAAAUACACAAUAAUUAGGGCAACUUACAAUGAAAAGGUAGAGGGAGAACACUGCCAAAAACUGAAGAUAAAUUAUAUAGUAAGAAUGGGGGAUAUUACAGUGCAAAACCACAUGAAUGCAUGCAAAACAUCUGAGAAAAAAUACAAUGUAAAUAACAAAGAAACUGGCGCAGUAUUACACUGAAAAAAUAUACACUGCAAUUUACACUGAAAGAAGCAUGAUAAUUACACUGUAAUGGGGGUAAUUCUAGGGAAAAUUACACAAUAAUUACAAAAUAAAGAAGCACGAAAAAAACAAUGUAAUUAUGGUAUAUUACACUGUAAUUGCAGGCUAACCUACAGUGUGAUUCUACGACACAUGAGAAUUACAAUGUAAUGGGGGGAAAUAUUAUACAGUAAUUCUAGGACAAAUUACACAGUAAUUACAAAUAAAAAAGCACAAAAACACACGGUAAUUACGGUAUAUUGCACUGUAAUUGCAGGGUAACCUACAGUGUAAUUCUACGGACAUAUUACACAGUAAUUAUAGCAAAAUUCACACUGAAGAAAGAAGCAUCGGGAUUACACUGUAAUUAGGGGGAAAUACACAGUACUACUAGGACAAAUUCCAGAGUAACAGCAAAUAAAGAAGCAUCAGGAUACACUGUAAAUGCACUACAAUUAUGGGGUAAGUUACACUGUAAUUAUGGGUUAAAUUACACAGCAAUUCUGGAUGGGGAUACACUGUAAUUCUAGGGGUAAGUUACACUUCAAGUCUGGAGUAAAAAUACACUGUAAAGAAGCAUGCAAUUCAGAGAGAUUCCUGGACUGACACUACAACAACACUGCAGCCUAGUACACACAAAUUCAGAGAGAUUUAGGUACCGGGGGAAAUGAACACCUACAUCUAACACAAAAAAUCAUAAUGAAUUCCAGGGACUACAACAUCAAACAUCAGCAGCUAACAGCAAAUACAACUAAACUGCAUAAGCAGGCAGAAAUCAGGCUAGAUCAUCUGCAACUACAUCUAAUGACAAAGGAACAGACACCCAGGCCGGCAGAAAUAAAAUUGAUAGGGCUAACCACCGCUGCAACUAUAACUUCCCCUACCUCUAUAUCUACAUCAGAAUAAACAACCUACGCCUACCUCCACAUCUACAAGCAUGGGAGAAUAUGACCACAACAAGCAGAUGGAUUAGAACCCCCACAUACAACAAGCUCCUAGAUAACUCAGGCGAGCAGAAGGAUGGGAAAUGGAGCGCUAGGCAUGGCGGACUAGAAACAAACACGGCAGCAACAUGCACCUACCACGGAUCCACGGACAACAUCAAGAACAGAUGAACCAUGGAUCCAUGGAUCCAAAACUUACCUAGAUCCGGAACUACACAGCCACAACACAAACAAAAGCACACAGGGAAACACGAGAGACAAGGACAACCGACCGCGGCAGCGGGGAUCGAAGAGAAAAGGGAGGAGAAAUCGAAAUCGAGCGGUGGAAUAGCUCGGAAUCGCCAUGAACAUAAGAAAUCGCCUCCUCUCCAAGUGGAGACAGUGCCGGGCCGGGGGCGGUAACGGGCUGAGACAGGAAAACCAAACCCGAGAAACCAACACGCAUCAACCCAAACAAGUGGAACGCCAGCACGAAGAAAAAAAUCAACACGAAUCUCUGCGUGAGAACGGACGGACACGGAUUUGAUUGACGAC
rnacentral:rRNA from 1 species